rnacentral:rRNA from 1 species
AUUGAACGCUGGCGGAAUGCUUUACACAUGCAAGUCGAGCGGCAGCGCGGGGGCAACCCUGGCGGCGAGCGGCGAACGGGUGAGUAAUACAUCGGAACGUGUCCUUAAGUGGGGAGUAGCUCGGCGAAAGACCGGAUUAAUACCGCAUAAGCUCUGAGGAGGAAAGACGGGGCGUCCGUAAGGACCUCGCGCUGUUGGAGGCGGCCGAUGUCGGAUUAGCUAGUUGGU